GACGAACGCUGGCGGCGCGCUUAACACAUGCAAGUCGAACGGAAAGGCCUGCUUUCCCUUGUGGAUUGCGGGUACUCGAGUGGCGAACGGGUGAGUAACACGUGAGUGAUCUGCCCCCAACUUGGGUAUAAGCCUGGGAAACUGGGUCUAAUUCCCGAUAGGACUGCAGGGUGGUGCCUGUGGUGGAAAACGAUUUUCUAGUGGUUGGGGAUGAGCUCGCGGCCUAUCAGCUUGUUGGUGGGGUAAUGGCCUACCAAGGCGGCGACGGGUAGCCGGCCUGGGGGGGUGGGCGGCCACAUUGGGACUGAGAUACGGCCCAGACUCCUACGGGCAGAAGCAGUGGGGAGUAAUGCACAAGGAGCGGAAGCCUGAUGCAGCGACGCCGAGUGGGGGAUGACGGGCUUCGGGUUGUAAACUCCUUUCGACCGCGAGGAAGCCACCUGGUUGGAAGGGUGGUGACGGUAGUGGUAGAAGAAGCACCGGCUAACUACGUG
rnacentral:rRNA from 1 species